rnacentral:rRNA from 1 species
UGGGGAAUAUUGCACAAUGGGCGCAAGCCUGAUGCAGCAACGCCGCGUGAACGAUGAAGGUCUUCGGAUCGUAAAGUUCUGUUGCAGGGGAAGAUAAUGACGGUACCCUGUGAGGAAGCCCCGGCUAACUACGUGCCAGCAGCCGCGGUAAUACGUAGGGGGCUAGCGUUAUCCGGAUUUACUGGGCGUAAAGGGUGCGUAGGUGGUCUUUCAAGUCGGUGGUUAAAGGCUACGGCUCACCCGUAGUUAGCCUCCGAAACUGGAAGACUUGAGUGCAGGAGAGGAAAGUGGAAUUCCCAGUGUAGCGGUGAAAUGCGUAGAUAUUGGGAGGAACACCAGUAGCGAAGGCGGCUUUCUGGACUGCAACUGACACUGAGGCACGAAAGCGUGGGUAGCAAACAGG